AAAAACAAAAGUUAAGACACUAAUUUUAUCUUUUUUAAUUUGUUUUUUUAAAAAAAAUUUCAAAGAUUAAAUUUUAAUUUUUAAAAGUAUAGCCGCACGGCUAUAAAACGCCCAGGGCCCAGGUGCCACGUGUCAAAUGAGUAAAGCCGAGCGGCUAUACUAUUUUUGGCAAAAAAAGGAAGAUGAGUACAGCCGCGCGGCUGUACUAUUUCUGAAAAAAUUUCAAAAAGAAUCUGGUAUAGCCGGGCGGCUAUACUGUAUAUGCAUGCACACAGACCCGCCCAGUGUUUAUACACCACGCGUCAAGGAGUAGAGCCGGUUUUUGGUUUUAAAAAAGUAUAGCCGCGCGGCUAUACUAUUUUGAAAAUCAAUUCAGGGGAAAACUGGGUAUAGCCGAACGGCUAUACUAUUUUGUUUUUAGUGUAUAUCAUUUUUUUUUUAUUCAAUAAUAUGUGAGAAUUAUGUGUUCAAUGGUUAAUUAAUACAUAUUCAAUUAAUCAAAAGGUUGGCCUUGGGCCUUUGGGCUCUUGGGGUCGGUGAUUUAAAUUAAACCCGAUUAGUUAAUUAAUUAUUUUCAAAUAAUGUUUUGAAUUUCAUCCUUCUAUUUGUUGUUUAAAAUAUAAUUACUAAUGAAAGUAAUAAGAAAAGGCUAACAUACUACUUAAUUACAUAUAUUAAAUUAAAGAAGUGGGCCAAAAAACAAAAGUUAAGACACUAAUUUUAUCUUUUUUAAUUUGUUUUUUUAAAAAAAAUUUCAAAGAUUAAAUUUUAAUUUUUAAAAGUAUAGCCGCACGGCUAUACAACGCCCAGGGCCCAGGUGCCACGUGUCAAAUGAGUAAAGCCGAGCGGCUAUACUAUUUUUGGCAAAAAAAGGAAGAUGAGUACAGCCGCGCGGCUGUACUAUUUCUGAAAAAAUUUCAAAAAGAAUCUGGUAUAGCCGGGCGGCUAUACUGUAUAUGCAUGCACACAGACCCGCCCAGUGCUGAUGCGCCACGCGUCAAAGGAGUAGAGCCGGUUUUUGGUUUUAGAAAAGUAUAGCCGCGCGGCUAUACUAUUUUGAAAAUCAAUUCAGGGGAAAACUGGGUAUAGCCGAACGGCUAUACUAUUUUGUUUUUAGUGUAUAUCAUUUUUUUUUUAUUCAAUAAUAUGUGAGAAUUAUGUGUUCAAUGGUUAAUUAAUACAUAUUCAAUUAAUCAAAAGGUUGGCCUUGGGCCUUUGGGCUCUUGGGGUCGGUGAUUUAAAUUAAACCCGAUUAGUUAAUUAAUUAUUUUCAAAUAAUGUUUUGAAUUUCAUCCUUCUAUUUGUUGUUUAAAAUAUAAUUACUAAUGAAAGUAAUAAGAAAAGGCUAACAUACUACUUAAUUACAUAUAUUAAAUUAAAGAAGUGGGCCAAAAAACAAAAGUUAAGACACUAAUUUUAUCUUUUUUAAUUUGUUUUUUUAAAAAAAAUUUCAAAGAUUAAAUUUUAAUUUUUAAAAGUAUAGCCGCACGGCUAUACAACGCCCAGGGCCCAGGUGCCACGUGUCAAAUGAGUAAAGCCGAGCGGCUAUACUAUUUUUGGCAAAAAAAGGAAGAUAAGUACAGCCGCGCGGCUGUACUAUUUCUGAAAAAAUUUCAAAAAGAAUCUGGUAUAGCCGGGCGGCUAUACUGUAUAUGCAUGCACACAGACCCGCCCAGUGCUGAUGCGCCACGCGUCAAAGGAGUAGAGCCGGUUUUUGGUUUUAGAAAAGUAUAGCCGCGCGGCUAUACUAUUUUGAAAAUCAAUUCAGGGGAAAACUGGGUAUAGCCGAACGGCUAUACUAUUUUGUUUUUAGUGUAUAUCAUUUUUUUUUUAUUCAAUAAUAUGUGAGAAUUAUGUGUUCAAUGGUUAAUUAAUACAUAUUCAAUUAAUCAAAAGGUUGGCCUUGGGCCUUUGGGCUCUUGGGGUCGGUGAUUUAAAUUAAAC
rnacentral:lncRNA from 1 species